rnacentral:rRNA from 1 species
GACAGAGGAUGCAAGCGUUAUCCGGAAUGAUUGGGCGUAAAGAGCGUGUAGGCGGCCAGGUAGGUCCGCUGUGAAAACUCGAGGCUCAACCUCGAGAUGUCGGCGGAAACCAUCUGGCUAGAGUCCGGAAGAGGAGAGUGGAAUUCCUGGUGUAGCGGUGAAAUGCGCAGAUAUCAGGAAGAACACCCGUGGCGAAGGCGGCUCUCUGGGACGGUACUGACGCUGAGACGCGAAAGCGUGGGGAGCGAACAGG